rfam:TPA: Bos taurus chromosome 26, whole genome shotgun sequence.
UGGCUCAGAUGGUAAAGUGUCUGCCUGCAAUGCAGGAGACCCGGGUUCGAUCCCUGG